rnacentral:lncRNA from 1 species
GAUUGCUUGAGCCCAGGAGGUUGAGGCUGCAGUGGGCCAUGGUCACACCACUCCACUUACAGCCCGACCUUGUCUCAAACAAAAAACAGAAAAACCACAGUGGUGAAUAGAAUAGAAUAGAUGAGGCCCAUCCCAUGCCUUCCUGGAGCUUAUAGUCUAAUGACGGAGAAAGGCAAUAAACAAGGAAAAAAUGAAUAGAUGAUGGAAUUUUAGUAGUAAAUAAAGGCCAUGAAGAAAACCAAAGGCUGGGUGAGGUGGUAGAUGGUGAUGCUGUUGGGAAGCUGUUUUGGAGAGUGUCACUACACCACUGCUUCUCCUCAUUGACAAGGGAGCCUGCCUAGUCCCUUUCCAAUUCUCCGUUUGAAGAGGAGGUUAAAGGAGUGGACCUCUUUGGGAAGUGCAACUCAAGAGAGUGGCAGGCUUUAUAUUUCCUCUGUCCUUUUUUGCAGCAUCUGGAGGAGCAGAGGAUGGGGGGUUAGAGAGUGGUUAAAGGGCACUGUCUGUUUAUCACUAUGGUGACCUACAUGUAUUUCUUUGUGCUGACCAUGCUGUUUUGGGUGACACUUCUUUAUAUUCAAUGCUCUUCUUCUGGAAUCAAAUUCCUUACCUGCUGCUUCUGUCCACUUGGGGGAUUUUUUUUUUUUCUCACUCAUCCUUUAAAAUCAUGGCCAAGCAUUGUCUUCCUUUCUUAGAACCUUCCUUGAUGACUCUGUCCGAUGCAGAGUUGACUACUCUCUCUUUUUAGAGGGGUUAGUGUUACUCCUCUUUAGUAUUUCUAUUAUCACUGUUGUAUCAUACUGCAAUUUUUUGUUUUCAUGCCUAUCUCUGUUUUAUGUCCCUAAUGAUAAGAAAUUUAACUUUACUUUCUCGGUAUUCGUAGAUCCAACCUUAGGUACCUAAUAAAUUUCUGCUGAAUGAAUGAGUGAACGAAAGAUAAACUUGCAAAUAUAUAUUUCUAUAUUGGAUCUUUCUGCCAGGUGUCAAACCCAUGGACAGUGAAUAUUGUCUAAGACAAUAGAAUAUUGACUAAGAGCUUUGGGUUAAGAGCUGUGUUUGAAUCUUCGUCCUACAUACAGACGGCUUUGAAUUUUGGAGAGAUUAAAUGAAAUAAUGUAUAUAAGAUUAGCAAACAUAGCAAACACCAUGAGUAAAUGCUAAUUGUUAUAUAUGUCCAACUGCCUACUAGACAAUUCCCUUUGGAUAUCUUGUAGGAGUCUGAAAUUUAUACUAUUAAACCAAAGUUACCAUUUUCCUAAAAUUGAAUUAUUUUCUUUUGGUUAGCAAAACUAGUUUAUCCACUCACUGAAACUGAUAGAAUUUCCAAGUCAAAGAAUAUAGAGUUUUAAAUGGCUUUAAAUGACCAGCUUUUCAAAUUAUUGUGUAGAAGUGUAGCCCAGUAGAGCGUAAGAGUGACCAUUUUCCCACACCUCCCGCCAACAGGAGAUAUUAAGAGCUUUUGAAUAUACACUGCACAGGCAAACAAUGGGUUUGAUCUGUUGACCAUUUGUAUUCUUUUAUGAGUUGCCUAUUAUGUUUAUAUGCCUGUUAUGAGGUGUUUUCAUAUUUAUUUGUGAGGGUACACAUACUUGUGAUAUUGAAGUACCACACUGUGUUGUAAUCAUUGGCUUAAACCUCUCUUCUAACAGAGUGCAAGCUCUUUAAAGGCUCAUUCACACUGCUUUCCCAGCACCUCACCUAAUUUCUUGUUCUUCGCACAUCACUUAAUGCAUGUUUGUUGAAUUGAAACUUCAGUGUACAGGAGAUUGAAUCCCGGAGGAUUUAGAUUUGUAGUAUUUGAAUUAUUAUUGUUCUAUUGGGGAUUUUUAUUGGGGGAGCCAGGCUUCUGUUACAUCAGACAUUCACAGGUCAUUGAAUUUCAGUAGCAGUUCUCAUGAAUACAAGAAUAGGUUGAACAACACCAGGUUAUGUUGUAAUUUAGUAGUUGCUGUUCAUCUAGUGUUAUCUGCAGUUGUCUGGGCAUUAUGGCCUACCUGCUUAGCAUCAUAACUUAGUAAACUUAUAUGUAUGAAAAUGGAAUAGUUACCCUCUGAGUAUCUAGUAACAAAUCUUUGAAUUGAAUGUCACAUGUAAGGUUGUUUAUGCUAAGUCUUGUUGAGAAGAUAGGAAUCGAUAGUCUUUUCUGUUUGCCAUAAUGACAUUGAACUUUGAAGAGAGAAUUUCUACUGUUCUCGUAUGCCAUCUUCU